rnacentral:rRNA from 1 species
UACGUAGGGUGCAAGCGUUAUCCGGAAUUAUUGGGCGUAAAGAGCUCGUAGGCGGUUUGUCGCGUCUGCUGUGAAAACUGGAGGCUCAACCUCCAGCCUGCAGUGGGUACGGGCAGACUAGAGUGCGGUAGGGGAGAUUGGAAUUCCUGGUGUAGCGGCGGAAUGCGCAGAUAUCAGGAGGAACACCGAUGGCGAAGGCAGAUCUCUGGGCCGUAACUGACGCUGAGGAGCGAAAGCAUGGGGAGCGAACAGG